rnacentral:lncRNA from 1 species
GUGUAGGGUUUCUUCUUCUUCAUGGUUGCUCGGUGUAGGGUUUCUUCUUCUUCUUCAUGAUUGCUCGGUGUAGGGUUUCUUCUUCUUCAUUGCGUGUGAAGGUCACGUGCGAUGUGAUAAACGAGGAUUUUGUGAUCCUCUUUGGGAGAGUUUUUUCAAGCUUUUUCCAAACUCCGUCCGUCCUUCCCAGGUGCGAACGUGUGCUGGACACCCACAGGCGACCGACAUUGAGCGGAGCACUCGUAUGUGACGUUGAGUGGGGUCUAGCGCACACUUGCGCUUAGAAUUAGAUUCCCGAUCGUCCAGAUCCAAGUGUUUGUAAUGUACCGUGAUGAAUCCUGGUUCUCAAACCUGUCCGAAGUGAUGAAGACCAUGAUCCAAACAUUCCAAAAUCGACAAGUUCUCAGCAUGAACACCAUUUGUACCUGCAUCAUUUUCAGUGCAGUGUGUAUGAUAUGCACUAAUGUGUUGCAGAUGUUAUUUGCCGUACAGCUUCAGCAUGACAGACGUGCGAGGCAUCAUUGCAGAAAAAUCGCAAAACCAUCAGAAAAUAUUCGGUGAAGAAAAGUCGAUCGGUGCAGCCUCUGCUCACUGUGGGGCACGUGAUCCAAGACAAUGGAGCUUCCAAUCGAGCUGGUUGCUUGGCAACGCUAACACGCACCUCCUCUGUCUAUUUUUAUCUUUUGUCGCACUUGCAUAAAAAAAAAAUUUCCUGUAGCUGUAAGCCUUUUAAUGGAGAGCUUAUUCAAAUCACUGAUGGAUCCCUGCCCUUCGACAAGGUCAGAGACUGGGACAUUAAAAUGAGCUCCGUCCAACCGUCUGUCAAUCGUUUGUCCAUUUACUUUUGUGUACAUGAUAUUCAACAAAAAUAGUUGAACAUUUACCUUUCAUGUUGCAGAUAUCUACUCCUCAUAACAUCAUCUCAAUACGAUUAAAUAAUGGCUCUAAUCUGUCACCAUGGCAACAAUCUUGGUAACUUGGCUUGUGCAUGUGAUAUUUCAAAAACCAUUCAAGAUGUAGCUUUAGAGGAGGGGAGGGGUGGGGGAAAGAUAGAGGAGAGAGGAGAGAGAGGGAGGGAGGAGGGGUGAGUAGUGGGCGGAGCUCGGGGGGGGGGG